GGAGUUAUUAGGUCGUAGCCAGG
rnacentral:piRNA from 1 species